AUCACGAAGCUCGCGACCUCGUCGAAUUCCCUAGUGGAAAACCUCAACUCUGAGAUUACCCAAAGCAACACCGGAAUCCCGAUGCACAAGAUAUUCCAUCAAAGGUAAAACUAAUCCAGCAAGGCCACCCGGUGUGUUGACGAUCCCGAUAGGAGCCGCGUAUCUCGUUCUCAGGACACACCGUCUAUGCAUAGUGGACGGUAGCCAAACCUCGAGUUGCCCCGAGGUGGCACUGCCGACUGCUAGGUGGGUGCACCAACACUCAUGAGGAG
rnacentral:lncRNA from 1 species